UGUCACAGCCAUAUCACCAUGCAGCCCAAGACUGGUUGCCCACUGAAGCUAAGCAGGGUUGAGCCUGGUCAGUACCUGGAUGGGAGACCUCCUGGGAAAACUAGGUUGCUGUUGGAA
rnacentral:rRNA from 1 species